UACGUAGGUGGCAAGCGUUGUCCGGAUUUACUGGGCGUAAAGAGCGCGCAGGCGGUCGUUCAAGUCGCGUGUGAAAGCCCCCGGCUCAACUGGGGAGGGUCACGCGAUACUGAUCGACUCGAAGGCAGGAGAGGGUAGUGGAAUUCCCGGUGUAGUGGUGAAAUGCGUAGAUUUCGGGAGGAACACCAGUGGCGAAGGCGACUACCUGGCCUGUUCUUGACGCUGAGGCGCGAAAGCUAGGGGAGCAAACGGG
rnacentral:rRNA from 1 species